AUAGAAAAACUGAAUGGAUAAAUGAUGCAGGACGGGUGCGGUGGCUCAUGCCUGUAAUCCCAGCACUUUUGGAGCCAAGGCAGGCAGAUCACAAGUGUGAAGUCCUUUGUGAAUGAGCCACAUUUUUUACUCAUUCAAGUCCCUACAGCAUAAUCACAUAGAUUAACUCACUUGGAUCGUUAAUUGUUACACUGUAAGAACUCCACAAACUUGAUCAGAGAGAUUCCACUUAUUUCAAAGUUACUGAGGCCAGAACAGUUCUCCCUCAUCCCUUCAAGAAACAGAAUGUCUGUGGUCAGAAGUUCCUUCUUGGGACUAAACCAGUUGAAGCUGGCAAAAUCCAUGAUGGCAGCUUACUCGAUCUUUGAAGAACCUCUAGCUUCAUUAUACUCCAACUUCCAUACUAAAUGACACUCCCACCAAUGCCAUGACAGUUGACAAUCAUCAUGACAGUGACCAAAAAGAACCAAAAAAGGACAGGAAAGAAGUGGCUACUUGAUUCCAGGAAAAUCUCCAUCCUUUCCCAAGAAAAGCAUGAAUAUUCCUCUCCUUGGUUUUAACGCUCAAACCUUUCAUUAAAGAUACCUUGUGUCUGUAACUUCCUGAUUCUCAGGAGCUGACAUGUUGAUGUGUGAGCCACACUCCCACUUCUCCAUGUCAUGACCAUCGAAUAAAACCUGUACUGCUCUAUGCUCA
rnacentral:lncRNA from 10 species